CAGGAGAGGGUGUGCUGCCAAGUAGGACGGCGGGCAAAGGGCUUCUUCAAGUUUCUGCGCUGGAGUCACAACCUGAGAGGAAUCACUGUCUGGCGUUGGUGUCUGAGCAGAAGCCGCAGGAACGAGCAGGAGCAGCAGGAGGAGCUGCAGGACUUGUUUGCCGAGUCACGUAAUGAUCGGGUAUCAGAAAAAGACGUCAGCAUCCUAGUCCCUCAAGGAACAUAUUAACUAUUCUGUGCUGUCCUCUUGGAUGAUAAGAUCCGGAGUCAUCGACUUCUCAUAAACACCUUUCACUCAUACAAUCCAAUUUUUAAGAAGUCCAAUUAUUUUGAUGGUUUUCAAUUUCACCCAUUUCUCAAGGACAGCCCCACCAAUCAGAGCUCUGGUCUCUGGAAUUAAGCAUCAUCAAGCUCUCCUAUUAAUAAAUUUAAUUUAGAUCUCCUAA
rnacentral:antisense_RNA from 1 species